rnacentral:rRNA from 1 species
AACGAACGCUGGCGGCAUGCCUAACACAUGCAAGUCGAACGAGUAUGGUCUAGCUUGCUAGAACCCAGCUAGUGGCAAACGGGUGAGUAACGCGUGGGAACCUUCCUAAUAGUACGGAAUAGCCGUUGGAAACGACGAUUAAUACCGUAUACGCCUCCGGGGAAAGGAUUUAUCGCUAUUAGAUGGCCGCGUUGGAUUAGCUAGUUGGUGGGGUAAGUGGCUACCAAGGCAACGAUCUAUAGCUGGUCUGAGAGGAUGAUCAGCCACACUGGAACUGAGACACGGUCCAGACUCCUACGGGAGGCAGCAGUGGGGAAUAUUGGACAAUGGGCGAAAGCCUGAUCCAGCAAUGCCGCGUGAGUGACGAAGGCCUUAGGGUUGUAAAACUCUUUCAGUAGGGAAGAGUAAUGACGGUACCUACAGAAGAAGCACCGGCUAACUCCGUGCCAGCAGCCGC